rnacentral:lncRNA from 1 species
CCAUAUCAAAUUCUUUUGAGCAGCAGAGACUUAUUUCUAAUUCUCAUAUGUCACAUCCACCUUAUCACAAGCGACGAUCCCCAAAUAUGUUCUUAACUUCUUUCUGUGGCGACUCUGAUGCUACACCAGUAGGAGGAGGAGGAGAGCUGGGUGGUGUAGCCAUUUGCAUGUAAAGAAAAAAAAAACAUUAGUUAAUUAACAUUAUCACAAAACUGAAUAACUUCUGUAAAUGAAUGGACUGAAAUGAAAUACAUAAUAAGAAAAUUGCAUUAGACGAUGUUAAUUAAUUCUCCUUCAUCAUAAUCAUUAUGAUUAGCAUGAACGUUGUUAGCUUCUUCUUCUCCGACGAUGUUAGGCGAUAUUUGUGUGGAAAAAGGACUAACAUAAGUAUCAAUGUAUGAAUCAUCAUCUUCAACAUUAACACUAAUUGUUUUCCGGUGUAGAACCACGACCACCUUUCAUCACAAGGAUCUUGAACAUAAAAUACUUGUUUAGCUUGUUCUGCCAUGAUGAAAGGGUCAUUCUGGUAAGCGAGUUUCUUUAGAUCUACCAACAUAAAUCCUACAUCAUCGGUCCGCACAUCGGUAUUGUUAUCAACCCAUUUACAUUUGAAAACACAGACAGUAAAUUUGACAUAAGCUCCUAAAUUUCUUCAAUGAAACCAAAGUAAGGGAUGGAAGCAACAUGGGGAUUGUCAUCAUGUACACUAGCGAAGUGUUGAGAUUUAGCCCUUAGGGUGACCCCACUGUUUUGUAUUGUAGUUUUCUCAUCUUGUGCUUUUGUAUACAAGGAAUACUUGUUUAUAUCAUAUCCUUGCCAAGUUAUAACAUUUCUUUUAGGCCCAUCUGCUAGCUUUCUUAAUGUUUCAGAAGCAUUAUCAUCAGCGAAGAUUGUAUCUUUAAACCAAUCUAUGAAAGUCUUGUUAUGCUCUUUCAAGACCCUGUUCUUCGACAUUUUUGGAUUACUUUCCUUCCUUAAACCUUCAUGGUGAAGUAUGUAUGGAAAAACUUCAUUACUGCUAUUCAACAUAUACAAAUGAGCUUGUUGCAAAUCUUCUACACUUAGAGUGAUAACAUGUAGUCCUCUUGAACCCUUACCUCCCACUCUUUCGUCAUGUCGAGACUUGGGAAGCACAACAAGUUUAGCUUUUUCAAUGUACUCUGAACAAAAUUCAAUGGCUUCUUUUGCAAUGUACCUUUCAACAAUAGAUGCUUCCGAAUGAUGUAGAUUCUUGGUAUAUCCUUUUAAGAUCUUCGUAUAUCGCUCAACCGAGUACAUCCACCACAAAUAAAUAGGACCACAACAUUAGAUUUCUCUGACCAGAUGAACAGUUAAGUGAACCAUGAUGUCAAAGAAAGCAGGAGGAAGAUAUAUCUCCAACUGACACAAUAUAAUAGCAUCCUUGUUUUCCAUCUCAUCUAACUUCACAGGAUCAAGGACUUUGCUAUAUAUGACAUUAAAGAAAAAGCACAACCAAGUUAUGGCAAGCCUGACUUUAUUAGGCAAAAUGUCUCGUAUGGCCACAGCUAACAAUUGUUGCAUCAAGACAUGACAAUCAUGAGACUUUAACCCUACUAACUUAAGAUCCUUCAACUACACAAGGCUCUUAAUAUUUGAAGAGUAUCCUUGUGGGACUUUGAUCCGGCACAGACACAGACAAAAACUGAUCUUCUUCUUUUUUGACAAAGUAUUACAAGCUGGAGGCAAAUAUUUUUUUUUUACCAUCAGACCUUGGAUGUAAUUGUGCUCGUAUACCCAUCUCAGCUAGAUCUUGACGAGUAUUCAAACCAUAUUUCAUCUUGCCUUGAAUGUUAAGAAGCGUCCCAAUGACACAAUCACAUACAUUUUUCUCCACAUGCAUAACAUCAAUACAAUGUCUAACAUCUAGAUCAGACCAAUGCAGAAGAUCAAACAAAAUUGACCUCUUCUUCCAUAUGCAAGUCUUACUUUUUUCCUUCUUUUGGGUCUUUCCAAAUAUAGUAUUUAGGUGUUCAACCCGCUGGAAGACCUGGUCACUAGUUAAUGGUAUCGAUGCAGUUUCAUGCUCUUGACUUCCAUUAAAUGCUUUUUUAAUUGCCUGUAAGGGUGAUGAGGUUUUAGAAAAUGUCGAUGCCUAGUGUAGACUGUUUUUCUACCAUGUUUUAGUUGUAUGUAACUUGUGUCUUCUUCACAAAUUGGGCAUGCACGAUGGCCCUUAACACUGUAAUUGCUCAAAUUCCCAAAUGCUGGAAAGUCAUUAAUGGUACAAAAAAGCAUUGCACACAAAUGAAAAGUCUCAUUUCGAAACCCAUCAAAUACUAAAACCCCCUCGUUCCAUAACUUUGUCAAGUCUUCAAUCAACGGACUGAGAUAAACAUCGAUGUCAUUUCCUAGUUGUCUUGGGCUCGAUAUCAUCAUAAACAACAUCAUGUAUUUUUGCUUCAUGCAUAACCAAGGAGGCAAACUGUAAAUUACUAAAAAUCCUGGCCAUGAAUUGUGUUGAGUGCUUAAACUGCCAUAUGGAUUCAUUCCAUCAGUGGCUAGUCCAAGCCUAAGAUUUCUUGCCUCUUUGCCAAAAUCUGGAUACAAAUGAUCAAUCUCCUUCCACUAGGAGGAAUCAGCCGGAUGACGGAGCAUUCCAUCGCAGUUUCUCCCAUUUGCAUGCCAUGUAAGGUCUUUUGCGUUGUCUCCAUUAGCAAACAGACGCUUAAACCUUAGAAUGAUGGAAAGAUACCAUAACACCUUCACUGGGGGGCCCUUCUUUGAUUUUUCGUCACUACUACACUCGUCAUCAUCCUUCACUUUGUAGUGUGAUACACCACACCUAGGGCAUUUAGGCAUUUCUUGAAAUUCACGUAUGUACAGUAUGCAAUCAUUCGGGCAAGCAUGAAUCUUCUGAUACUCCAUACCCAUCGGACACAGUAUCUUAUUGGCUUGAUAGUGACUUUUAGGUAAUGUGUUUUUCUCUGGAAGCAUACCGUGCACUACUUGAAGCAACGAACUAAAAAUUUUGUCACUCCACCCAUAUUUGGCCUUCAUAUUAACCAGACUUAACACCACCGACAAUAACGUCAAGGAAUUAUUGCACCCCGGAUACAAAGGCUUCUUUGAAUCAGUUUGCAAUGUAUCAUACAUAGGGGCAUGUGCUUGCUGAAAAGACUCUUGUCCAAGGUCACGAAUCAUAUCCUCCAAGCGAUCUCCCAUUUCUACAUCAAACGGUUCAGAUUGGGACCCACUCUGCAUGUUUGUCAAUUCACCAUGCCAUAUCCAUGUUGUAUAAUUCUUCUUAAUCUCAUCACACAAUAGAUGCUCUCGUAUGUCAUUGAGUUUUUGCUAUCUCCCAUUCAAACAAUUUAUGCACGGACAAAAAAAAUUCCCAUUUUCAUCCGGUCGACUUCUUUCUAAAGCAAAUUGCAAGAACUAUUUCAUGCCUUCCUCAUACGCAGGGCUCAUGCAACUUUCAUUCAUCCAACUUCGACCCAUCUAAAUAAUAACUCUGUGAUACUCUGAAAGUUAUUCGAUGCAUGAAAAUCUCGCUUUUUCAUUUAAGGAGUGGCCCUAUCCCAUUCAGGAAGACAUUUUUUUUAUGAUAGAUUCAUAUGUCAAGGUUAAUCUUAUUUUUUAAAAUUUGAGGAAAUUUUGGCAGCAUUUCGCAUUGAUGUCUAAGUACACGACAUGAAAGCGGUGACAUUAAUUCCCUGACAAUCAAGUAUGCACUCAGAGAACAACUAGAAAUCAUUGUUUUGAAAUUUCAUCAAAUUCAAAAAAAUAAUCUUAACCUUAACACAUGAAUCUACCAUAAAAAUAUGACUCUUCCCAAAUUGUCCAAACAGAUAAUUCAAGAUUCAAUACAACAAUUAAUACAAAUUGUCUGCAAGAAUCAUUAUAUUCAAUCUCAAACAGGAAUCUAAGGUUCACUCAUGAUGAACAAAAGUUGUAUGUAAAGCAAAGUACAUUAAUGACAGACAACAACGUACAAAAACAUUCAUAACAAAAAUAAGCAUAAAAAGUUUAUCAAAAACUUUUGUACCUGUGAUGAUGAUCAGUAUAGUGUCCAACAACGAAUGUCGUGAUCAUGAUGCAAACAACUAGACAAAUAGUGCCUACAAAUUAAAUAUUUCAAUGCUAAGUGAUAUAUAACACAAACUUUGAUAUAUCAAGUAAAAUUCGAUCAUAUGAGCUGCUUGUAUUGCUGUCAGGACUUUUACCAAAUCCACAACUUGAAACUUCAAUUCUGUUAGUUUGGUAUGUAUGUUACAUUAUUUUGGUUUUCUAUAAACUGCAACUCAUCUACAAUUUCAUUUUGUACCAAUCUAUUUUGAAGAUUUUAUAAAUUAUUGUGACUGAACUAAUUUUUUGUCAUUUUUCUACAGCCUCAACACCAUUACAACUCUCUAUACGAUGCCCUAUGGAAUUGGUGUUGUAGCAAGGUUGCAUCAUAGACAUACUCAUUCUUCAUAGUUUAAAUAUUACACUAUGCUGCCUUGAGCAUGCAUCUAGACUAAUUAUCUUUUCUCCUUUUUUAUUAUAGCACAAGGGUUUCAAAUGAGUUAGGAGCCAGGAAUUCACAUGUUGCACGUGUUGUCGUGUUAGCAGCAAUGUCUCUUGCAGUAAUUGAGACAAGUAUAGUAAAUGAUAUUGGGUGGUGCAGGUUUUGCUAGGGAUUUUUUGGUGCCAAACUGGUUGGGAUGAAAACAACCACUAGUUUCUGCCACAUCCUUUUUUUGCUUAAAAAAUGUACUUUCAGGGUGAACUAUGUGUUUUACCUGGUAGAAAUUUGUAGAAUUUCUCAAAUCAAACUUAAUCAUGUAGACACAUAAUAUGGCAUGUUCUAUUUUAACUUGUCACAACCUACCUCACGACGGGACGACGAUGGCAUGUUUUCCCUUUUUUAUAUUUUUUGGGGUCGACAAGGGGGCUACCCUUGCUCCUACGUAUCCUCAGGUGCGAUGAGAAAUUUAGACCUAUGUAGUUCUUUAAGUUUGAAUGUUUGUGUGUUAAAUUGAUUUUUAUGUUUUUGAAAGAUUUAUUUUAAUUGCGAACAAAAAGUCGUUUAAGGUGUUGGACCUUGAAAUGAUGUUUUAAAUUUUGAAAAGUGGAGAGAAUCGUUAAGGCAUUGGAUCUUGAAAUGAUCUUUUAAAUAUGAAAAGUGGAGAGAAGUUAGUUAUGAGCUGGUUUUAUCUUGGUUUUGUUUAUUAACUUUCAAUCUCUUCAAAGACAACUUUACAACACUAGUGAUUGGUUAAGAUUGAACUUUACAAAGAAAAACGAGAUUGCUGAUGAUAGAUGGAGAAGAUGGAUGUGCACAUAAUAACAAGGGGGACCCCUAAGGGUACAUAGAUCACAUUCAAUCCUCAAAAAUAAAACUAACCGAUGGUUACACGAAGAACACAGAACAAGAAAACGACGUAGGGAAUGAUCGCAGUCGUGAUUCGGUAGCGCCUUAGCUUCGUUUCCUCUUCUUUCUUCUUCUUCAUUCUUAGUUUUCUCAAUUCCCUCCACUUCUGAACGAUGGAACUCUUUAAAACACCCCUAGGAUGCCUAUUUAUAGGCAAAAUACCACUUUGGGACAGUUGCAGCUCACCCAGGUGAGCUGAAACUUAACCCUGAAGCAGUGAGCUCGCCCAGGCAAGCUGGAGCUCGCCUAGGCAAAAGACCAUUUUUCCCUCUUCUCUUGGUAUCUUUUGUCUUCCUGAUCGAAACACUAAAUGAUUCCUUGCUUUGCAAUGUAACUGGCAUUCAAGACCGUAAGAUGACUAGCAAGGAUCAAAGGAUCAAUGAACGAUAGUCCCUAAACGAAAUUAGGGUAUGACAUAACUUAAUAGAGAAUUGUGAUCAUCAUGAAAUAUGGAUUUACACAGUUGGAUCAUCCGUUACUGUGUUCAAAUAUUUGAUGAUCACUGAAGAAUGGCGAAAAGUUUACCAAAUUUUCUAAGCAAUUGACUUAAUCAUGAAAUAAUUUGAUUGCAGUUGUUCAUAUGCUAAUAUAGCUCAAUAGGCAUCUAGUAUAAGAAGUGAAAUAAGUUUUUAUCGUUAUACAUCACAGGUAGGUACUUCAUUGUCACUCUUUUCCAUAAGCCACUCUAGAUUCAUUUGUUUGGUACUUAUACAUCUCUAGUUGUUUCUCUCCAAAGAUUGAAUGUCUAAUGUAAUUUAUAAUUUCUCAUGCUUCAGAGCAAUUUAUAAUUGUUGUUUUGAGAUGGACCUGUUGGAUGGAUCAACUGCAAUGUUACAAAAGAUACUAUAGGGAACCAUUCUUAUAGUUGGAAUUGUGUGACCUUGAGUAGCAAUACAUCAGAAAGACACAAAGGGCUUUAGCUCCACUUGUAUUUCCUAUAUCUUAAGUUAUCUGCUAGCAAUAGAUCAAAUUAAUUUGUUUUGAAUAAGAAAAUUGAUUAUCAAUGAUUGUUCCCUUCUCUUUCUACCAAUUCAUAUAUCUAAGAAAAUUCAGAAAAACAGAAUUGCUUUUACAUGUUCCACGACUUUGAAUAAUGGUGGUUCCCAGCGAGAUCCAAUGUUUCUCUAACUGUAGCAAGAAAAUCACACAAAUAAUAAAUUCUACAACAUGCUUAAAUUCGAUUAUGAAAAAUCAGAUGCAGCAUUGGCUUUUUUCUUUCUGUAGUUGCCAUACCUAUGCCUAUUCUGAAAUCUGUAUUAUUAAUCUCUUACCAGUUAAUUACAAAGCAUGUUAAUUAUGAUUCCACCGUCAUUCAAAUACUAUUGGACCUAAAUAAAUGAAUCAACGAUAAUGCCUACAAACUCAUGGACUAAAUGUAUGAAGAUCAAACUCAUAAGAAAAGUCAUGUGUUGGAUUUGCACGCGCUCAUGUUAAGGCUCCACUUGUACUUGAAUUUCACAUCAAAGUCAUGUGCCUUCUCUUUCCAAAUUCAACUGAAACACUAAGUUUUUUGGUUAAAUCUGUUAACUAUUACACUUUUACAAAAAAAAAAAUGAAUUGAAUUGCUUAUUCGCUUCUCAAUUGAUUACAGUAGGAACCUUGCUUAUAUAGCAGGUUAAUAGUAACUGCUUGUUGGUUAUAAGAAAACAAACUUAACCAACCUUAUAACUACCAGUUUACAGCUUUUUAAAAAUUUGAAUUAUUCCUAACAUUCCUCCUUAAUUCAAAGUUGCAUUUACACAAACAACUCCAAUGGAAUCUCUUAAACAUCUAAAUCUUUCUAGCUUCAAAGCCUUAGUGAGUAUGUCUGCAAGCCGAACUUCAGUUCUGCAAUGCUCAUUCAAAGCCUUAGUGAGUAUGUCUGCAAGCCGAACUUCAGUUCUGCAAUGCUCAAUCUUCAGCUUUUCAUUAUUGACUUGCUCUCUUAGGAAGUGAAACUUUGUUUCUAUGUGUUUACUUCUUCCAUGGGAAGCUGGAUGCUUUGCUAAAUCAAUGGCGGAUUUAUUGUCUACCAACAGCUUCACCUUUCCUGAUUUUUCCAGCUGCAACUCCUUAAUCAGGGCAUCCAACCACACAGCUUGGCAUGCAGCUUCUGAGGCUGCAAUAUACUCUGCUUCACAGGAUGACAGUGCUACCACUGGUUCCUUGGUGGAGGACCAAGAGAUUGGUGCUCCUCCAUAAAAGAAAAUGUAUCCUGCAGUGCUUUUCCUAUCAUUUUUAUCCCCACACCAAUCAGAAUCAGAGAAUCCAGUCAAUUCUGGUCCUAUGUCAGCUCCACCUUUAGGAAAUAGAAUUCCAAAAUUGGUUGUCCCUUGAACAUACCUCAUAAUCCUCUUAGCAGCUAGCAAGUGAGACUGCCUUGGUUCUUGCAUAAAUCUGCUGAUUAGCCCAACACUGAAGUUUAAAUCAGGCCUUGUAUUGCAUAAGUACCUCAAGCACCCAACUAUUUUCCUGUAGUGAGUGGGGUCAACUGGUUCUUCAUCAGUUUCCUUCUCUAACACAAGGCCAACCUCUGCUGGUGUUCCUGCUGGAUUGCUCUGGUGCAUAUUAAAUAUCUUCAGCAGGUCUUGUGCAUAUUUUGACUAAUGCAUCAUUGUACCAUAUUGAGUCAUUCUAAACUCCAUUCCAAGGAAAUAGGAGAGAAGUCCAAGAUCACUCAUCUCAAAUUCAUUCAUCAUUUGAUUUUUGAAUGCAGUAAUCUCUUCCUCAAUGCUUCCAGUAAUCAAAAGGUCAUCAACAUAUAGACAUACAAUCAAUGUCUCUAAUUUGCUGUCCUGCAGACAUCUCACAUGCAAUCCAUGUUCUGAGGUGCAUUUCUUGAAGCCAAUCUGUGACAGGAAGCUAUUGAUUCUCCUAUUCCAAGCUCUUGGAGCCUGUUUGAGGCCAUACAAUGCUUUCUUCAGCUUGUACACUUUGUUUUCUGAACCCUUCACUACAAACCUUUGUGGCUGAAGCACAUAAACUUCUUCAUCUAAUGGACCAUUUAGGAAAGCAGAUUUAACAUCUAGUUGGUGCAGGGACCAGUUAGCAUUAGUUGCAAUGGCUACAACAAAUCUGACAGUUUCAAUCCUAGCCACUGGUGCAUAGACUUCACCAUAAUCAAUUCCAGCCUUUUGCAGAAAACCUUUUGCUACAAGUCUGGCCUUAUGUUUCACCACUUCCCCCUUUGGGUUAACCUUCACUUUAUAAACCCAUUUUAGUGCUAUAGGCUUCUUGUUUGAAGGAGGAUCCACUAAUUCCCAUGUAUGAUUUUUUUUCUAUAGAGUCAAUCUCCUUCUUCAUAGCCCUCACCCACAUUUUAUUAGUCACUGCUUUAUCAAAUUCGAUAGGUUGAGCUUCUGCUAUGAGUGCAAAAUGGACCAAUUCUCCUUCUAAGUUGACUUCUGAAUCCUGAAACAGCUCAUAGUCCUUCAAAGUUAUUGGUAGCUGACUUGUCCUUGAUGAUUUCCUUACACUAGGAACUUGGUUAGUAGUUGGUGCAGCUGGAGGUGUUUCUUCUUCUAACAAUAUCCUGGACUGACUUUCACUAGAAAUUGAAUUCCAAUUCCAGCUUCUACUUUCAUCACAAAUAACAUCCCUGUUGAUGGAUACUUGACCACUUUCUGGAUUAUACAGGUUGUAGCCUCCAGUUGAGUGAUAACCAAUUAGGAUAUGUGGCAUGCCCUUAUCAUCAAGCUUUCUUCUAAGUUGAUCAGGAACAUGCUUGUAGCAUAUUGACCCAAAGAUCCUCAGGUGUGUAACACUCGGUUUGGCUCCAGUCCAUGCUUCCUCUGGUGAAGUAUCUAUCAAUCUCUUAGUGGGAGAUCUAUUUAAUAUGUAUGCAGCAGUUGAUACAGCUUCUCCCCACAAGAAACAUGGUAGGUUUUUGCUCUUAAGCAUGCAUCUCACCAUGUUCAGCAGUGUUCUGUUCCUCCUCUCAGUUGUGCCAUUGUGUUGAGGUGUGUAAGGUGGUGUAACCUCAUGAAUUAGCCCCUCACUUUCACAAAAUUCUUUGAACUCUUUUGACACAUACUCACCCCCACCAUCAGUUCUUAGUACCUUAAUCAUUUUUCCACUUUGCUUUUCAACAAAGCAUUUGAAUUUCUUAAAGACAUCUAGGACUUCAUGCUUCCUUUUAAUCAGAUAAAUCCAAACUUUCCUAGUUAAGUCAUCAAUGAAAGAGAUGAAAUACCUGCUGCCUCCAGGAGUUUCUGUUUGUAUAGGACCACACACAUCAGGAUGGAUGACCCCCUAGCUUCUCAGUUGCUUUGGUAGGAACAAACUUGCUGAAGUUUCCUCUAGUUUGCUUGCAUUCAAUGCACUCUCUGCACACCUCAUUAGGGACUACAAUAUGGGGUAAUCCUUCAACCAUCUUGUGGCUAGUAAGUAGGUGCAGAUCCUUGAAGUUGAGAUGACCAAACCUGAGGUGCCACAACCAUUCCUCCUUAUUUUCAGAGGUUGCAAAGCACUGAUGCUUCAGAAUAUUCAUCCCAAUCCUAAAUGUCCAGUUCUGGGACAGAUUUGCUUGGAUAACCAGCUUUUGAUUUCUAUCAAAUACCUUGAGGCAAUUGUCUUUCAUUGUCAUAACAAAUCCCUUUUGCAGUAGUUGCCCAAGACUCAACAGAUUUGUUUUUAGGCCAGGCACAUAUAGAACCUCCUCAAUGACUAUUUCUUUUCCAUUUGUGUCUCUGAAAGCCACUUUGCCAAUGCCUUCUACAAUGAGACUACUAUCAUCUGCAAACCGGACUUUGCUCUUUGAUGAGUCAUCCGAACUGAUGAACCAUUCCUUCUUCCCUGUCAUGUGAGUGGAACAUCCAGAAUCCAAGUACCAAGAGGUGUCAAUGGAGGAUUCCUUACUUGUGGUUGCCAUGAGCAUUACAGCUUCAGAAUCUGAUCCUUCAUCCUGUGCCAGAUUUGCCUGAUUCUUUGGCUUAUUUUUAGCACCUUCUCCUUGCCAACAGUCUCGUGCAUAGUGACCAAGUUUUUGACAAUUGUGGCAUCUCACUUUCCUCUUAUCAAACUUCCAUUCCUUGCUGCCAUUUGAGCUAUCAUUUUUCUUCUGUGAUUGAUCACUUUUCUUUCCUUUAAAGAAUUCACUGCCUGCAUUAUAUCCUUGAUCUUGGUGUUUCUAAUUACUGCAUGGCUUAUUUCCCUUCCAUGGUCCUUUCCCUUUUCCUUUGUAGUUGGAUCUUGCUUGAAGUGCCUGUUCUUGAUUGGAUCUUCUCUCAUUGAUCCUCGUUUCAUGUGCCUCUAGGGAGUGCUGCAAUUCUUCAAUCUCCAUGUCAUCUAAGUUCCUUAACUCUUCAAUUGCAAUAACCACAUGAUCAAAUCGUGGUGGCAAUGUUCUCAAGAUCUUGUCUACCACUAGUUCAUCAAGGAUCUUGUCAUUACACGACCUCAUGGCAUUAACCAGUUCUUGAAUCCUAUCAAAGUAAUCUGAAAUUGAUUCUUUCUCUUCCAUGCAUAGUAAUUCAUAUUGCCUUCUCAAAGUCUGUAGCUUCACUUUCUUGUUCUUUUCUCCAUCACCAUAUGUUUUCAUCAAAAUCUCCCAUGCUUCCUUAGAGGUAGAGGCCUUCGAGAUCUUGUUGAAAAUCUUUGAGUUCACACAAUGGUAGAUGAGAAAUCGAGCUUUGCAGUCAAGUUUUUGCUUCUGUUUGAAAUCCAAUUGCUGUUCUUCAGUGGCUUUCCUUCCAGGAUCUUCAAACCCAAAUGUCACCACUUCAAAUACAUCUUGGAAGCCAAAGAUUGUCAGCAUCUUGACCUUCCAAUUAUCAAACAGUUUUCCAUCGAAAACCGGUAAAGAUCCUUGAAUGAUACUAUUUGAGCCAGCCAUGUUGCACCUUGAUCCUCCUUCACUUUCCUAUACACAACUGCUAUCUCAGAGGUUCCUCUACACGCGUUCUUGACUACCAAGAACCCUACUCAGCCACCACAAUCACAGAUAUGAUAGUGAAAACAAUGAAGAAUCACUCACAAAUCACAGUUCUCACAAAAAGAAUCUCAAGAAGAAGGGUUUCCCUCAGUUUUUUUGGUGUCAAUAGAAGCUUGCUCUCCCUCUUUCUAAUCUUCACAGGUCAGGUUCGUAUAAGCUCUAGAUACCAUGUUAACUAUUACACUUUUACAGAAAAAAUGAAUUGAAUUGCUUAUUCACUUCUCAAUUGAUUACAGUAGGAACCUUGCUUAUAUAGCAGGUUAAUAGUAACUGCUUGUUGGUUAUAAGAAAACAAACUUAACCAACCUUAUAACUACCAGUUUACAGCUUUUUAAAACUUUGAAUUAUUCCUAACAAAAUCAUGCCAGCCAUUAGUGAAUGUCGCUUCCCCUGAAAGGGAUUAGUAAGUACAAAAACACCAACCUUAUCUUCAAUAGUAAUGUGACUAAACUAAAGCUAACACGUUAUCCUCUCAAACAGAAGACCUUCUUUAACUUUGUUGAUCAUCAAGCAGUUCAAAUGAAAGGCAUGAAAUAAUGAUUUUCACUUAAGCCUUGAAGAUGAACCCAACAAAGAUAAACCAGAACUUCAACAUCACUCCCUCUCUUUGGUCCACUCCUACUUCCAAGACCUUGAUUUGUUCUACUACUUAAAAAUGGGUUCAACAUGUGACUUACAAGCUUGUCAAAUAAUGUCUCAUUGCUUAUAAAAAAUGAUUGGCACUCAAACACUUCCACAGUCUUACAUUUUAUCUUUUAAGCAUAAAAGUGUCAAAGAUAAGAUCCUUAGCAUGUAUAACUUAUCUUUGUGGACCUUUGGGAUAAGUCCUCAAGAUGUCCAGCUAUAAUGGGUCCUAGUAAAAUUGGCAAGAUGAAAUUUGAGUCACAAAGAGGCUUAUAGCUACACUAAUGAGAUGGAGGCCACUUGGGACAUGUUAUUUCAAAUGUUGGGGUUUUGUUCUAUUUUUGGUCAGAAAUGUGAGGAAAGAAAGUUCCAGGCUGGUGGGGAGGCCUACUUUGACUUACUAUCUGUUGUGUCUUUUAAAGAACAGCGAUGGAAAAAGUUAGGUGAUAUGUGUAGCUUAGGAUGUGACUAACUGAGACUACACAGGACCAGUGUGGCAACAUUCCCUUUAGGGAAACACUUAUGAAUUUGUGUUCAAAUUAUGUGAGUGGAAGAUAUAUUACUUUGCUUAUUGCAACUAAAAAUAUGAGGUCCAUUUGAAAUUGGAACAACUAGAAGAUAACAAAUCAGAAUUGAAUAAUUCAGCAUGAAUAAAUAGGAGACCUAUCUAUAACUUGUGUUGUAUUGGUUAGGGCUCGAGACAAAGCAAAAAUAACUUUUAAACUCCACCCUAAAGGUGAACAAUUCCUUUAAUUUUGUAUUAAUUAUUUUGUUGUGAAUUUAUGUCCAAAAUUCAUUUCUUUCUUGUAAAUCCAUUUGUGAUUACACGACGAUGCGUGUUUUUCCCUCUUCAUCACUAUUACAAAUUUUUAAUUUGUGACUAUAACACACUGAGUUUUGAUGGCAUAAUUCAAGCAAGUGUUUAGCAUCAUCUAAUUUAUAUUUGGCAUGAAGUAUACAUAGCCCUAUUGGGGGCGUCUACGAUUUUGUGAUAGGAGAAUUCAAGCUUUGGAAGUAUGAGUCUCACAUCACUGAACCCAUUUCCAUCCCUAUCUGUACCCAUCAGUAAUGGAUGACUCAAACUUCGCACCACUCACUACCAUCUUAUCAAGUUCUUACUACAAAGUUGUGAUGUACUAUGUGCGCUUUUAUAUCCUAAAUAAAUAGCAUCUACUUUUGACAUUCCAGCAGCUUUUGAUGAGCAAGAUGCCUGCCUAGCAGCUUAAAACUUCUCCAUAGAUCUUUUAAGAUCCUCAGACUUUGUGUUGAUUAACCAGUUCAAAAUUCAACUACAGCAACUCUGUAUUUUGGUUGACACCUAUAUUGGCCUAAACACUUGUAUUGGAGAUUAUAACAAUCAAUGUUAAGAUUAUAGUAUAGGUUAAAAUUUUCUAAUUAAUUGUUGAAUUUUGUCAAUUUCAGCCAGAGUGAAUGUUGAAGAGUGGGUGGUGUGCAUUACAGUGUUACUGUGUUUGGUGAGAUCAUGGUCAUACCAUGCCUAUGUUAUGUAUGUCCUGGGUUUGGUGUGAGAUAGUGACUCCUCAAAGCUCAAAACACACAACAAUAAAAGAAAAACCAGAACAUUAUUACAUUUGCCAUGAUACUAUACACAUUACAACAGACACCUAGCUAGCUAGCCAUUAAGCAUGCAAAGGAUACUAUGAAUCUGAAUUUGAAUUACCUUACUCAAAA